GGAGGCGUGGCAGAGUGGUCGAAUGCACCGGUCUUGAAAACCGGCGUACGUGAAAGCGUACCGUGGGUUCGAAUCCCACCGCCUCCG
rnacentral:tRNA from 2 species